rnacentral:rRNA from 1 species
UUUUGGACAAUGGGCGCAAGCCUGAUCCAGCAAUGCCGCGUGAGUGAAGAAGGCCUUCGGGUUGUAAAGCUCUUUUGUCAGGGAAGAAACGGUGAGCUCUAAUACAGUUUGCUAAUGACGGUACCUGAAGAAUAAGCACCGGCUAACUACGUGCCAGCAGCCGCGGUAAUACGUAGGGUGCAAGCGUUAAUCGGAAUUACUGGGCGUAAAGCGUGCGCAGGCGGUAAUGUAAGUCAGAUGUGAAAUCCCCGGGCUCAACCUGGGAAUGGCAUUUGAGACUGCAUGGCUAGAGUGUGUCAGAGGGGGGUAGAAUUCCACGUGUAGCAGUGAAAUGCGUAGAGAUGUGGAGGAAUACCGAUGGCGAAGGCAGCCCCCUGGGAUAACACUACGCUCAUCACGAA